rnacentral:piRNA from 1 species
AGGCAUGAACAUUGUGGAAGCCAUGGA